GAUGAACGCUGGCGGCGUGCCUAAUACAUGCAAGUCGAGCGAACAGAUAAGGAGCUUGCUCCUUUGACGUUAGCGGCGGACGGGUGAGUAACACGUGGGUAACCUACCUAUAAGACUGGGAUAACUUCGGGAAACCGGAGCUAAUACCGGAUAACAUUUGGAACCGCAUGGUUCUAAAGUGAAAGAUGGUUUUGCUAUCACUUAUAGAUGGACCCGCGCCGUAUUAGCUAGUUGGUAAGGUAACGGCUUACCAAGGCAACGAUACGUAGCCGACCUGAGAGGGUGAUCGGCCACACUGGAACUGAGACACGGUCCAGACUCCUACGGGAGGCAGCAGUAGGGAAUCUUCCGCAAUGGGCGAAAGCCUGACGGAGCAACGCCGCGUGAGUGAUGAAGGGUUUCGGCUCGUAAAACUCUGUGAUUAUGGAAGAACAAAUGUGUAAGUAACUGUGCACGUCUUGACGGUACCUAAUCAGAAAGCCACGGCUAACUACGUG
rnacentral:rRNA from 1 species